UACGUAGGGACCGAGCGUUGUCCGGAUUCAUUGGGCGUAAAGAGCUCGUAGGCGGCUGUUCAAGUCGAACGUGAAAACUCGGAGCUCAACUCCGAGCCUGCGUUCGAUACUGGACGGCUAGAGUCUGGUAGGGGGAUCUGGAAUUCCUGGUGUAGCGGUGGAAUGCGCAGAUAUCAGGAGGAACACCAGCGGCGAAGGCGGCGCUCUGGGCCGGUACUGACACUGAGGAGCGAAAGCGUGGGUAGCAAACAGG
rnacentral:rRNA from 1 species